UCAUUAACUAACUAAGCUGCAGCCAGUUGACUGGGCGAAGGACCAGGCUGAGACUGAUUAGGUCGUAUUCUUGACCUCGUUUCCAUGUUUCCGUGAACGCUGUCUGAGCGGGUUUCAGAACCUGCUCUGCCCCUCGAAGCUGCCUGAGCAGUUUUGCGUGGUCAGCGGGGUCUGACCUGGAAGCAUCCAGUCACCGAGCACAAAGACUUCGGAGCCCGCGGUGCUGUUUUUUGUGGCAGCUGGGGAUUGUGGUAUUUAGGUUGUUCAUUGGAACUUCACGGCGUGAAUCCUGGCUUUGCAGGCCUUUGCUGAUUGAAACUGCCAGGACCAUCACUGGUCAUACCUUCUACAAGUGAGAGGACUCCUCUGGGACAGACGGUUACAAGUAGAAUUCCUGGGGUGAGGCCGUGUAUAUUUUGAAUUUGAAUUAAUGUUGCCAAAUUACCUUCCAAACACUGUGACCAAUUUAUGCCAACUGAUAGUAUAGAAAUGUAUCUGUUCCCUCUCCUCGUGUCAACAGACUUGGCAUGUGUCAUUGCAUUUCUGUAUUAGUGAAGUUGAGCUUUUUGUGUCAUUUUGCCAUUUGUUUACUUGUGCCCAUUUUUUUGUUCAUUUAUUACUUGUGCUAUUUGACAGUCUUGUGCUCUUCCUCUAGAUUGAUCUUACUUGCUUAUAUACUUUAGAUUUUCGAGAAACUUUUAAACUUCUGGAAGGCAAGAAUCAUGUCUCAAUCUGUUUAUACUCCUUUGGACUUAACACUGUGCUGUCUAAUUUUUGCAGCAUUUAUGAAAUUAAA
rnacentral:lncRNA from 1 species